rnacentral:rRNA from 1 species
CAAUAGCGUAUAUUAAAGUUGUUGCAGUUAAAAAGCUCGUAGUUGGAUUUCGGGGCAGCCUGGCUGGUCCGCCGCAAGGCGAGUACUGGUCAGCCGCCCUUCCUCUCGAAAGCCCCGACUGCUCUUCGUUGCAGUGGUCGGGUAGUUCGGGACGUAUACUUUGAAAAAAUUAGAGUGUUCAAGGCAGGCCUACGCCUGAAUACAUUAGCAUGGAAUAAUGGAAGAGGACCUCGGUCCUAUUUUGUUGGUUUCCAGGGCCGAAGUAAUGAUUAAGAGGGACAGUUGGGGGCAUUCGUAUUUAAUUGUCAGAGGUGAAAUUCUCGGAUUUAUGAAAGACGAACAACUGCGAAAGCAUUUGCCAAGGAUGUUUUCAUUAA